rnacentral:tRNA from 1 species
AAAUCCGUCGACUUUAAAAAUCAUGAGGGUUCAAGUCCCUCUAUCCCCA